GUGGGGAAUCUUCCACAAUGGACGAAAGUCUGAUGGAGCAACGCCGCGUGAGUGAAGAAGGGUUUCGGCUCGUAAAGCUCUGUUGUCGGGGACGAAUGUGCAGUAUUUGAAUAAAGUACUGUAAUGACGGUACCUGACGAGGAAGCCACGGCUAACUACGUGCCAGCAGCCGCGGUAAUACGUAGGUGGCAAGCGUUGUCCGGAAUUAUUGGGCGUAAAGGGAGCGCAGGCGGGAAGGUAAGUCGGUCUUAAAAGUGCGGGGCUCAACCCCGUGAUGGGAUCGAAACUAUCUUUCUUGAGUGCAGGAGAGGAAAGUGGAAUUCCUAGUGUAGCGGUGAAAUGCGUAGAUAUUAGGAGGAACACCAGUGGCGAAGGCGACUUUCUGGACUGUAACUGACGCUGAGGCUCGAAAGCCAGGGGAGCGAACGGGAUUAGAAACCCCGGUAGUCC
rnacentral:rRNA from 1 species